UCACUAGAUAUCCUAGGAGAUGGUGGACAGACCGGGUCCAUAGGGGACCCUACCGAGAACGUGGUCUCUCAUAUCGGACGGGGUAUGGAGACGACCUUGGAAUCAAGGUGAAUGGUUCACGUGUAGCGGGGACCCCUAUGGAUCCCCAUAGAUACUAGUAGGCUGAUAAAAGAGGAAAUUUGUUGCCUGAUGAUUGAAAUACAAAAGUAUGAUAUGUGUUAAGUUACAGAGUGUACAUGAUCUUAUGAUGUUCAUAAUGUCAUUAUUUUCAUAAGUUGUUUUUAUGAAUCUCACCGAGGUAAGUGGAUCGUAAAGGG
rnacentral:lncRNA from 1 species